rnacentral:RNase_P_RNA from 1 species
CAAGUAAGACAGAUGAUUGCAGUCAACGGACCGAAAGGUGUUGAUUGAGGAAAGUCCGGGCUUCACAGGGCAGGGUGCCAGAUAACGUCUGGUGGAGGCGACUCUAAGGCCAGUGCAACAGAAAUAUACCGCCCUCCCGUCAGGGAGAGUAAGGUUGGAAGGGCAGUGUAAGAGACUACCGCCCGGAUGGUAACAUCCGGGGCAUAUGUAAACCCCACUCGAAGCAAGACCGUAGAGGAACAAAAGGGUGGCCCGCCCGUUCCGAGUAGGUCGCUAAAGUCUGCCGGCGACGGCAGAUGUAGAUAGAUAAUCAUCCGAUACAUGACCCGGCUUACAGUCUUGCUUGCUUG